AGCUCACUGGUCUAAAUAAGGGUCUUUGCGCCUAAAAUGUAACGGGGCUAAAGCCAUACACCGAAGCUUUGGGUGCAUAGCAAUAUGCGCGGUAGCGGAGCGUUCUGUAGGCCUGUGAAGGGAGACCCGUGAGGGCUCCUGGAGGUAUCAGAAGUGCGAAUGCUGACAUGAGUAACGUAAGGAGUGUGAGAGACACUCCCGCCGAAAGACCAAGGGUUCCUGCUUAAAGUUAAUCUGAGCAGGGUUAGCCGGACCCUAAGGCGAGGCCGAAAGGCGUAGUCGAUGGGAAUCACGUUAAUAUUCGUGAGCCUGCAGGUAGUGACGGAUCAUCAAGGUAGUUCAUUCUUAUUGGAUUGAAUGGGCUGCUGCGUGGUUCCAGGAAAUAGCUCCUGCUUAUAGUCCGUAC
rnacentral:rRNA from 1 species